rnacentral:rRNA from 1 species
GUAAGGAAUAUUGGUCAAUGGAGGCAACUCUGAACCAGCCAUGCCGCGUGCAGGAAGACGGCCCUAUGGGUUGUAAACUGCUUUUAUACGGGAAUAAACCUCUCUACGUGUAGAGAGUUGAAUGUACUGUAAGAAUAAGGAUCGGCUAACUCCGUGCCAGCAGCCGCGGUAAUACGGAGGAUCCAAGCGUUAUCCGGAUUUAUUGGGUUUAAAGGGUGCGUAGGCGGCCUAUUAAGUCAGGGGUGAAAGACGGUGGCUCAACCAUCGCAGUGCCCUUGAUACUGAUGGGCUUGAUUACACUUUAUGUAGGCGGAAUGUGACAAGUAGCUGAGAAAUGCAUAGAUAUGUCACAGAACACCAAUUGCAAAGGCAGCUUACUAAGGUGUCAAGGACGCUGAGGCACGAAAGCGUGGGGGUCAAACAGGAUUAGAUACCCGGGUAGUCC